UGUUUUUAAUUGAAAUAUUAUACUGCAAAUGCACGGGAAUACACAAAUCACAUUUUUAAGGUUUGAAUCCCUCAGCUGUGUGUAAAAAGCAGGGCUGUGUCUCAACUGGUGCACUUCCGCACUUACACUAAUGUAAGUGUUUUAAGUACUGUGAAAAUCACUGCAUGUAAUCAGGUACUAAUAGAAAGCACGUGACUUGCAAUUCUCCACCAAGAUGCUAGGGGGCAGUGUUUUUCCUGAGCGUGAACAACCACACCUGUUGUGGACAAGCGUUUAAAUAUUUGGAAUUGUAAAUAAAUCGAUUACUGGGACACAAUAAUGCCGUAAUUUGAAAAAUAGUGGUUGAAAAAUAAUAAACAGAAGAAAAAGAAGCUUUUGGACACCCAGGAACUACUGUCCAGGCGUGUGUCCAGCUGGUUGCGUUGCUGGCGGCUCAAGCUAUGCAAAGGUGUGCUGAGGGGUGGAGGAGAGGCUAGGCUGCAGCUGGGAACCUCCUGGUACUGACCGCCCCCUCGACUCUCCCCCCAGAAACUGAAGAUAUUGGACACACCUGAGAGUGCACCUGGACAAGAGUGCAGCGCGAUCGUAUCAGCGUUGGACGAGGGUGCAGCACAAUCUCAGCGUCGGACUGAGUGUGGGGGGGUCGUAACGCCGGACCAGGGAGCUGAGACGCUCGGAUCCGGAGGGCUGUCAUAAUACUUCAGAUUUCAAGGUACGUUAUCACGUGUUGUUGCGUUGUUGAGUCGGAACAAACAUGAACAUGAGUGAACGGACUGACUCGACAUGGCUGACCAGGUUUAUGCACAGGGAGAUCACAGGCUAACGACCAAUUGACUGAAAUGAACGGAUCUUUUUACAGAAUGAACCGGUUCACUGAAAUGAACAGUUUUGCCCACCACUAGCGGAACCCAUCUUUGACCACCAAGUCGUAGUCCACUGUGCUGUUAUUAUUACGCUAAGUCGACGUUGCGAUACGUACCUCAUCCCCACUGGAGUGCGAAGACACUGAACUCCGAUACUGUCUCUUAGGUGCCUCCUGACGUUUUUGGUUGUGGAUUGCUUCCCUCUCUCUUCUUCUAUUUACAGACUUGUGGGUCUUUUUGAUUUCACCAGCAUCUGCAUCAUCUGCUCAGGGAACCACACAUUCAGAUAAAGGACUGAUACUAUGAAAAAUAUGUUGUUGGCUACAACAAAUACUGAAGUACCCUUCUCUGUGCGUCGCCGGAAUGAUAAUUUGCGUCUGCGUAAUUUGUUGAAGCCCCCACAUUUGGACUCAUCACUGCUGGGAGAGCCUGGGAUCAUGUUGGUCUGAAACGGGGUAGUCAACAUUUGUUAAAUAUUCCGAUUAUCGGAAAAUAAGAACAUUCAGAGUUAAAUUCAACUCUUUAACCUCUGAUGUUUAUUUUCCUGUUUAGCUAACAAAACUCACAUCACGGAGAUUGAAGGUAAUUUCCAGGUUGUUCCAGAAGUGGUCUGCAAAUUCAGGAUACAUAUCCAACACCUCCAGAACGUCUUCCCGAAAUAUCUUGUGCAGGUCGCAGUAGGUUAGAGCCCUCACGUCCGCAUUGGAUUUACCCGGUCGAGCAUACAAGUUGAUUGGCUCGCCAAAGAUGUCGUUCUUUCCUGGUAAUGGUAAGCAGAAAACAUUUACAGAUACAGUUGUCCCUCGGUCCAUCACUCAUUCACGUUUUAAUCUCGGCACAUGUUUUAUAUCAGGGGUCUCAAACACGCAGCCCGCAGGCCAAAUGUGGCCCGCAAGACACUAGUUUGAGGCCCCCGCCUUGAUAUGAAAGUUUAAUGUUAGUGCGGCCCGUGCAAGUUUGAUAUGGAUGCUGUAUGGUAUCAUGUACCCAGAAAAAAUUAUUACGUUUGAUUAAUGUUCAUGUUAAAGGUUAAAUAACUGUUAAUAGUUAUCCUCCCUAUCCGUGUGGAAGUGGUAAGUUUUUGGCUAUUUAAGUUUAAAGGAAAUAACUUGAAGGCUACCGUUUAGGUCGCUAGCUCUCUAGCUUGCGAGUUAGCAUGUGUCUCAAGACCCUGCAGUUGCGCAAUAUGUUGUAAAUA